UCCUCGAUGGUCUAACGGUCAUGAUUUCCGCUUGUCACUCGAUUGAGAACGAGCGCGGGAGACCUGGGUUCGACUCCCAGUCGGGGAG
rnacentral:tRNA from 1 species